GAAAUGCGAUAAGUAAUGUGAAUUGCAGAAUUCAGUGAAUCAUCGAAUCUUUGAACGCACAUUGCGCCCGCCAGUAUUCUGGCGGGCAUGCCUGUUCGAGCGUCAUUUCAACCAUCAAGCCUUCAGCUUGUGUUGGAGCUCUGCGGCUGUCCGCGGGCCCCUAAAUACAGUGGCGGGCUGGCUAUCACACCGAGUGCAGUAGUUUUCUUCCUCGCGCAGGGCGUGUAGGGGGUGGUAGCCGUGAAACCCCAUUUUCACAAGGUUGACCUCGGAUCAGGUAGGAAUACCCGCUGAACUUAA
rnacentral:misc_RNA from 1 species